AGUGAACGCUGGCGGUAGGCCUAACACAUGCAAGUCGAACGGCAGCACAGUAAGAGCUUGCUCUUACGGGUGGCGAGUGGCGGACGGGUGAGGAAUACAUCGGAAUCUACUUUUUCGUGGGGGAUAACGUAGGGAAACUUACGCUAAUACCGCAUACGACCUACGGGUGAAAGCAGGGGAUCUUCGGACCUUGCGCGAUUGAAUGAGCCGAUGUCGGAUUAGCUAGUUGGCGGGGUAAAGGCCCACCAAGGCGACGAUCCGUAGCUGGUCUGAGAGGAUGAUCAGCUACAGUGGAACUGAGACACGGUCCAGACUCCUACGGGAGGCAGCAGUGGGGAAUAUUGGACAAUGGGCGCAAGCCUGAUCCAGCCAUACCGCGUGGGUGAAGAAGGCCUUCGGGUGGUAAAGCCCUUUUGUUGGGAAAGAAAAGCAGCAGGUUAAUACCCCGCUGUUCUGACGGUACCCAAAGAAUAAGCACCGGCUAACUUCGU
rnacentral:rRNA from 1 species